UACGGGGGGUGCAAGCGUUAUCCGGAUUUACUGGGUUUAAAGGGUGCGUAGGCGGGUUGAUAAGUCAGUGGUGAAAUACUAUAGCUUAACUAUGGAACUGCCGUUGAUACUAUCAAUCUUGAAUACAGUGGAGGCGGGCGGGAAUGUGUCAUGUAGCGGUGAAAUGCUUAGAUAUGACACAGAACACCUAUUGCGAAGGCAGCUCGCUACACUGUUAUUGACGCUGAUGCACGAAAGCGUGGGGAUCGAAACAGG
rnacentral:rRNA from 1 species